CGUGCACCACCAGGAAGGACCCUGAGUCAGAGUGACUGGGAGAGCUUCUGGGGGAGGCUGGAGGACAGGCAUGGAACCGGGAAGAAGAAAUUCACCAGCAUGGUGUCAGCUCUGAGAUGGGUGUGUUCACUUACAUUAUUCCACUGGAUUCACAGAAAGCCUGAUAAGGGUGAUGUUAUUCUACGUUUGCAGAGAAGGGAACUGAGACUCUGAGAACUGAAGCUCUUUGUGCUAAGCAGUGGGUUAGGAAGCUUGGAAGGACACAAAUGAAGUAGAAGAUGAGGCUUCUGCCCCCAAAAAGACCCAGAGAAAACCAACUGGGAUGCAGAUGAGACUCAAAGGUCUUGGGUGAUCUGUCACCUCCCGCACAGGGGGCCUGUGCUGAGAAGGCCCGCGGCGAGCGGUCCA